UGUCUUCCCAAGUGGAUUAUUAACUCCCCGGGACAAGAAUCAUACCUCAUGAGUUUCUUUCCAUGGCCCCCAGGGCAAUGCCUUACACAUAAUGGAAUAAAGUGAAAAAAAGGAAAAAGAAAAACGGUUUCCCCUCUGCAUGGCUGCUGGGAAUACCUAGAAAGUGAUCUGUCUGCAUUCACAGGGCAAAAGAGAAUUGUUGUGAUCAUGAAGCAAUACCUUAUCUAGGGGGCUGCUAGAAAGGUUGGACAGAACUAGAAUGAAAUAUCCAGGUGAGGAA